GACAUCAAGCACAUUCAUCCAUCAUCAAGAUGAUAAAGAGGACAGUCCAUAACCAAAUAGCACGCUCUUUGUUCUUGAGCUCCACAGAGGCAGGACAGCGAGCUCAAGAAACUCCAUAGCCGUGGUGCCUGAUCCUGUAGUCCUUACUCAGACUAAACCCCCACGGACUAAGAAGAAAAUAAAGACUGAAUAAAGACUGAAAGAAUGAGCCUUGAGGCCUUUUUAAGGCACAGUCACUGUUCCCCCAAUCCUUAGACAACUUGGACUUCACGGAAGAGAUGAGCCCACUGA